rnacentral:lncRNA from 1 species
AGAGCUGGGCGGGUUAAGGAGGAGGAUGGCGCCGUCCUGCAGAUGUGCGGGGACGCGCGCCCGCCGCAACGUGAGGCUCAUAGGCCACACGCAACUCUGAGCAUUGGCCAGGACCUGUAGUAGCCAACAGGACACUUAAUAACUGAUGUAUAGGUGCGCACUGUGUGUCCAGAGCUUUACGUUAACCACCUCACUGUGUCAUCUCGCUGAGGUUGUGUGGUUUACUAUUACUGCUAUUAGCGCAUUUUUAAGCGGGAAACCUGAGGCAUGAGGAGGUAAGGAGCUUUGAGGAGGGUUGCACGGGUGUUAAGUAGCGCGGUCAGCACCUGAUCCCCGUCACUCAUCAGUACGGCGGUUGGAGGGGAAUGCCUGCUGGAGGGGACCACGAACUAAACUCAAUCGCCCCCACAGGGUGUGCUCGCCGUGGUUCCUAUAAAGCUGUAAGGGAGGCUACACAGCGUGCAGCGUUGUUGCUGAGGGAUCGCACACUUCCCGUAGAUUUUGUUGCUAGUUCUGGUGCACUAACGUGGAUGGACUGCUUGCUGUCUGUAGGGCCUGCCCACGGUCAGCGCUACAGAAUUCAGGCCCGGCGUAGCUACUUCCAACCCUUCAGAUCUUCACUUCCUGUUGGAACUGUCCUCUAGACUGUAGCCUCUGCCAGAAAUAAUUCAUUUUGAAUACCCUUGUAACACCCAAUUCCUUGAUCUCCUAUCAUUCCCCUGGCAGGGUCAGUCCUCGACCUUGUCCCCCCAAAUUGCUUCGUCUCUGAAUCCAGACUCUGAAGUUCGGCUCUGCCUACCACCUUAAGUUAUCCGAUGUGGCCUUACCGUCAGCCUAGUCUUUGACUACAGGAAGACCUCUCUUCCUGAAGAAGACGCCUCUUUUCAUCCAUUCACUCUGGAAAUGAUUCAACGUCUGCCUGCUGCUGAUGCUUUACUCUCCACCAGGGGUUUUCGAAGUGUGCUUCCCCAUUCCCCCUGGGCCUAUAGCAUCAGCAUCAGGGAACUUGUCAGUAACGCACAUUCUUGGGCCCCAACCCAGAACUACUGAAUCAGAAACUUGGGGUGAGGGCCUGUCGUGGUGGCUCAUGCCUGUAAUCCCAACACUUUGGGAAGCAGAGGAGGGUGGAUCACCUGAGGUCAGGAGUUGAGGACCAGCCUGGCUAACAUGGUGAAACCCCGUCUCUACUAAAAAUAGAAAAAUUAGCCAGAUGUGGUGGCGUGUGCCCAUAAUCCUAGCUACUCGGGAGACUGAGGCAGGAGACUCGCUUGAACCCAAGAGGCGGAGGUUGCAGUGAGCCAAGAUUGCACCACUGCACUCUAGCCUGGGCGACAGAGUGAGACUCCGUCUCAAAAAAAAAAAAAGAACUCAGGGUGAGGCCCAGCCGGCUGUGGUUUUAUGAGCUUUUCAGGGGAUACUGAUGCGGGAUCAAAUUUGAGAAGCACUGGUCUAGGUCUUAGAUCCUCUUGCUUCAGUUUCGUCAUUGGAUCUCAGGAAUGUUCAGCUGCCCUCUCAAGGCAACUUCUUACUUCACUUGACCUUCCAAGACCUCUCGUUCUGUCAAACCCCAAUUUUGGAUCAACCCAGGCAUGCUUCCCUCAUGUGUUCCAAAGCUGGUCAGAGUAGUCUACACCACUAUCUGCUUCAACUUCUAGUAACGUCUAAGCCUUCAGCAGUUUUGCUUAUGAAACUGCUUCACUGAAGUUCUCCACCACCAAGUAGUCAGCUGGCAUCGGAAUUCGGCUUGUGUCAAAUGGAACUCAACAUCUUCCUCUUCAGGACAUCCCCUAUUUUCAUCCUCCCAGUGAAUGACACCACCAAGUUAAAGCCUGGAGGCUGGGUGUAGUGGUUCAUGCCUGUAAUCCCAGUAGUUUAGGAAACCGAGGUGGGCAGAUGGCUUGCGCCCAGGUGUUUGAGAGCAGCCUGGCCAACAUGGCGAAACCCUGUCUCUACAAAAAAGUACUGCCAGGCGCGGUGGCUUACGCCUGUAAUCCCAGCACUUUGGGAGGCUAAGCAGGCAGAUCACCUCAGGUCAGGAGUUCAAGACCAGGCUGGGCCAACAUGGCAAAACCCCAUCUCUACUAAAAAUACAAAAAUUAGCCUGGUGUGGUGGCAUGUGUCUAGUCCCAGCUACUCGAGAGGCUGAGGCAGGGGAACUGCUUGAACCCAGGAGGCGGGGGUUGCACUGAACCUGUUGCGCCACUGCAUUCCAGCCUGGGUGGCAGAGCAAGACUCUUAUCUCAAAAACAACCAAACACAAAACAAAAAUUAGCUGGGUCUGGUGACAUGUGCUUAUAGUCCCAGCUACUUGGGGGGCUGAGGCAGGAGGAUUGCUUGAGCCUGGGAGGUUGAGGCUGCAGCAAUGAGCUGUGUUUGUGCCACUGCACUCUAGCCUGGACAACAAAAUGAGACCUUGUCUCAAAAAGAAAAAAAAAAAGCAGGGUGCAGUGGCUGACGCCUGUAAUCCCAGCACUUUGGGAGGCCGAGGCGGGCGGAUCAGAAGGUCAGGAGAUCGAGACCAUCCUGGCUAACAAGGUGAAACCCUAUCUUUACUAAAAAUACAAAAACUUAGUCGGGUGUGGUGGCACGCACCUGUAGUACCAACUACUCAGGAGGCUUAGGCUGGAGAAUCGCUUGAACCCAGGAGGUGGAGGUUGCAGUGAGCCGAGAUUGCGCCACUGCACUCCAGCCUGCCAGCCUGGGCAACAGAGCGAGAUUCUGUCUCAAAAAACAAAAACAAAAAAACCCAGAAUAACUCACCCCAAACUUCCAGGUUUUUUUUUUUUUUGAGACGGAGUCUUGCUGUCGCCCAGGCUGGAGUGCAGUGGUUAGAUCUCAGCUCACUGCAACCUCCGCUUCCUGGGUUCAAGUGAUUCUUCUGUCUCAGCCUCCUGAGUAGCUGGGAUUACAGGUGUGCGCCACCAUGCCUGGCUAAAUUUUGUAUUUUUAGUAGAGAUAGGGUUUCACCAUGUUGGUCAGGCUGGUCUCAAACUCCUGACCUCAGGUGAUCCACCCGCCUCGGCCUCCCAAAGUGCCAGGAUUACAGGCGUAAAACUCCCAUGCUGGGCUGGUCAAAGUGCUGGGAUUACAGGCAUAAGACAACGCACCUGGAACUUGGCUUGUGUCAAAUGGAACUCAACAUCUUCCCUUUUACUAAACCCCACCCAACAUUCACUGCGCACAAGUUGUCUUAUUCACUGGACUUCUAAUAUGUUUAAGGGGUCUGUCCCCAUUUAUUUUUUGAAACGGGGUCUUUCUGUGUUGCCCAGGCUGGAGUGCAGUGGUUGUUCACAGGUGCCAACCUACUAUUGAUCAGCAUGGGAGCUUUGGGGUUUUAAAACAAAUUUUUUAAGCCAGUCAUAUUUAGCAGUGGGGGGUUGUAUACCAACUUUAGUGACACUAAUGUUAUUAAAUUCUAAUAACCCACUACCAUCAGACCAGCCCAGCUUGGGAGUUUUGACCUGCUCCAUUUCCGACCUGGGCUGUUUCACCCCUCCAUAGACAACCUGGAUAGUCCCCUGUCCUGGGAGGUCACCAUGUUGAAGCUGAACUUAGUGUGGACACCCAAACUGCAUAAUGCAUUACAGUCUAGAACUCCUGGGCUCAAGGGAUCCUCCCACCUCAGCCUCCUGAGUAGCUAGGACCACAGGGUGCACCACCGCGCCCAGCUGUCUUCCUUUUUUUUUCUGAGACCGAGCCUCACUCAGCUGUCCAAGCUAGAGUGCAGUGGUGUGAUCUCCAUUCACUGCAACCACUGUCUCCCUGGUUCAAGCGAUUCUCCUGUCUCAGCCUCCUGAGUAGCUGGGAUUACAGGAACCUACCAUCAUGCCCGGCUAAUUUUUGUAUUUUAGUAGAGAUGGGGUUUUACUAUGUUGGCCAAGCUAGUCUUGAACUCCCGACCUCAGGUGAUCUGCCCACCUUGGCCUCCCAAAGUGCUAGGAUUAUAGGCAUGAGCCACCACGCCCAGCCCCCUACCCUUAAAAAAAUUAUAUAUAUAUAUAAUAGAGACAGGGUUGCGCUAUGUUGCCCAGGCUGGUCUUGAACUCCUGGGCUCAAGGGAUCCUCCUGCCUUGGCCUCAAAAGUGCUGGAAUUACAGGCAUGGGCCACUGCACCCAGCCUAUCUUACAUUUUUUUUAAACUCAGAGCAUACCUCAUUUCAAUUUUCCUCCUCUCUUGCUUGGGUUCAUGUAAAAUCUUUCUAACUGGUUUCCAAGUGUCUGCUCUAUUAUGCUCCGUAUAUCCUCCAUACUCUAGUCUGCUCCUACGAACUUCAGCAUCUUCGGCCCCUCUGCCUGGAAUUUACAUCUUUCCAAUCCUGCCUCACAAAUUUUCUAUUAUAUAAGGCUCCGAAAUAUGAACUAGAAGUAAUUUCCGUGAAGCUGAUGACUUUAUCUGGCAUAUGGUAAGCUCUGAAUCAAUGUUUAUUGAAAGAAUGAAAUGUCACCCCUUUGUGAAGCCUUCCAGAGUUGUCCCUGAAGAAUUAAUUUCUCAACUCCAAGGUCCUUUGCUCAUCCUGUCAUCAUUUUUGUCUAGUAGUCAGUUGAAAACCAAUAAUUGAAAAGCUUGGCCGGACACGGUGGCUCAUGCCUGUAAUCCCAGCACUCUGGGAGGCCGAGGCAGGCGGAUCACAAGGUCAGGAAAUCAAGACCAUCCUGGCUAACACGGUGAAACCCCGUCUCUACUAAAAAUGCAAAAAAUUAGCCAGGCAUGGUGGUGGGCACCUGUAGUCCCAGCUACUCAGGAGGUGAGGCAAGAGAAUGGGGUGAACCCAGGAGGCGGAGUUUGCAGUGAGCCGAGAUCGCGCCACUGCAUUCCAGCCUGGAUGACACAGCGAGACUCUGUCUCUAAAAAAAAAAAAAAAAAAAAGGCUCCUCAAGUGCAGGGAUUGUGUUCUAUUCAUGCCCGACUCUUAAUUAACAGAUGGCGGCUCUCUAUGUACACUUGUCAAAUUAAGUAGAAAACAUCAAAACCCAGGCACCCUGAGGUUAAGAUGCCCUUUAGUGGUGGGAGUUAGUGCAUGGAAGGAGCCCAGGAAGCAUGCAGCUAACAGCCUGCUAAUUAGUAGUAUCAAGCUACCAAAUGGGCUCAUGGGUAGCUUUCCUUAAAAAUUGUAAAAAAAUGGGCCGGGCAUGGUGGCUCACGCCUGUAAUCCCAGCACUUUGGGAGGCCAAGGCGGGUGGAUCACGAGGUCCAGAGUUUGAGACCAGCCUGACCAACAUGGUGAAACCGUGUCUCUACUAAAAAUACAAAAAUUAGCCAGGCAUGCUGGCGCACACCUGUAAUCCCAGCUACUCAGGAAGCUGACGCAAGAGAAUCGCUUGAACCCAGAGGCAGAGGUUGCAAUGAGCUGAGAUUGCACCAUUGCACUCCGGCCUGAGUGACAGAGCGGGACUUCAUCUCAAAAAAAAAAAUUGUACAAAAUUUCCUUUAUUAAAAAUUGUAGCUCCCUCUCUCUCUCCCUCUCCCCCUCCCCCUCCCUCUCCACGGUCUCCCUCUGAUGCCACCAAAGUUAUGAAGGCCGAGGCUGGACUGUACUGCCGCCAUCUCGGCUCACUGCAACCUCCCUGCCUGAUUCUCCUGCCUCAGCCUGCAGAGUGCCUGGGAUUGCAGGCGCGUGCCGCCACGCCUGACUGGUUUUUGCAUUUUUUGGUGGAGACAGGGUUUCGCCGUGUUGACCGGGCUGGUCUCCAGCUCCUGACCGCGAGUGAUCUGCCUGCCUCGGCCCCCCGAGAUGCCGGGAUUGCAGACGGAGUCUCGCUCACUCAGUGCUCAAUGUUGCCCAGGCUGGAGUGCAGUGACGUGAUCUCGGCUCGCUACAACCUCCACCUCCCAGCCGCCUGCCUUGGCCUCCCAAAGUGCCGAGAUUGCAACCUCUGCCCGGCCGCCACCCCGUCUGGGAAGUGAGGAGCGUCUCUGCCUGGCCGCCCAUCGUCUGGGAUGUGAGGAGCCCCUCUGCCCGGCUGCCCAGUCUGGGAAGUGAGGAGCGCCUCUUCCCGGCCGCCAUCCCGUCUAGGAAGUGAGGAGCGUCUCUGCCUGGCUGCCCAUUGUCUGAGAUGUGGGGAUUGCCUCUGCCCCACUGCCCCGUCUGGGAUGUGAGGAGCGCCUCUGCCCGGCCGCGACCCUGUCUAGGAACUGAGGAGUGUCUCUGCCCGAUCGCCACCCAGUCUGCGAGGUGAGGAGCGUCUCUGCCCGGCCGCCCCGUCUGAGAAGUGAGGAGCCCCUCCGCCCGGCAGCCACCCCGUCUGGGAAGUGAGGAGCUCCUCCGCCCGGCAGCCGCCCCGUCUGGGAAGUGAGGAGCCCCUCCGCCCGGCAGCCGCCCCGUCCGGGAAGUGAGGAGCGUCUCCGCCCGGCAGCCACCCUGUCCGGGAGGUGGGGGGCAGCCCCCGCCUGGCCAGCCGCCCCGUCCGGGAGGGAGGUGGGGGGCGCCUCUGCCCGGCCGCCUCGUCUGGGAAGUGAGGAGCCCCUCUGCCCGGCUGCCACCCCGUCUGGGAGGUGUACCCGACAGCUCAUUGGGAACGGGCCAUGAUGAUGAUGGCGGUUUUGUUGAAUAGAAAAGGGGGAAAUGUGGGGAAAAGAGAGAGAUCAGAUUGUUACUGUGUCUGUGUAGAAAGAAGUAGACAUGGGAGACUCCAUUUUGUUCUGUACUAAGAAAAAUUCUUCUGCCUUGGGAUGCUGUUAAUCUAUAACCUUACCCCCAACCCCGUGCUCUCUGAAACAUGUGCUGUAUCCACUCAGGGUUAAAUGGAUUAAGGGCGGUGCAAGAUGUGCUUUGUUAAACAGAUGCUUGAAGGCAGCAUGGUCAUUAAGAGUCAUCACCACUCCCUAAUUUCAAGUACCCAGGGACACAAACACGGUGGAAGGCCGCAGGGUCCUCUGCCUAGGAAAACCAGAGAUGCUUGUUCACAUGUUUAUCUGCUGACCUUCCCUCCACUAUUGUCCUAUGACCCUGCCAAAUCCCCCUCUCCGAGAAACACCCAAGAAUGAUCAAUAAAUACUAAAAGAACAAAAAAAAAAAAACAAACACAAAACAAAAAAACCCAAAACAACAACAACAACAACAAAAAUUGUAGCCCAGGUGCGGUAGUUCAUGCCUGUAAUCCCAGCACUUUGGGAGGCCAAGGUAGGUGAAUCACUUGAGAUCAGGAGUUCGAAACCAGCCUAGCCAACAUGUGGCCAACAUAGCGAAACCUGGUCUCUACUAAAAAUACAAAAAGCCAGGUGUGUUGGUGCUCACCUGUAGUCCCAGCUACUCAGGAGGUUGAGGCACGAGAAUCACUUGAAACCAGGAGGCUGAGGUUGCAGUGAGCUGAGAUCAUGCCACCGCACUCAAGCCUGGGUGACAGAGCUAGACUGUCUCAAAAAACAAACAGACAAACAAAAACUAUAGGCUGGACACGGUAGCUCAUGCCUGUAAUCCCAACGGGCAGAUUGCUUGAGCUCAGGAGUUUGAGACCAGCCUGGGCAACAUGGCAAAACCUCUUCUCUACUAAAAAUAUAAAAAAUUAGCCAGGCAGGAUUGUGUGUGUCUGUGGUCCCAGCUACCAGGGAGGCUGAGAUAGGACGAUUACUUGAGCCCAGGAGGCAGAGGUUGCAGUGAGCUGAGAUCUUACCACUGCAUUCCAGCAAGACUCAGUCUCAAAAAAAAAAAAGAAAAAAAAAAAAAGAAAAAUUGUAAAAAGCAAUUUCUUGUAAAAAACAAAAACUGUACAGAGGCUACAAACAAUUGCCCCAUUUAUGUUGCCUACCCAGUCCUCAAAGAUGGCCAUUGCUCUUUGACACCUAUAUUGAUCAAGAUGUUUUCUCUGUUUAGACUUCAUAUAUAUGUGAACAUAAUUUCUGCCAUAUUUGGAGUAAUUUUGAACACACUGUUCUCCUACUCUUUUUUAAUUCCUCAAAUUGUAUUUUGGUUAUCUUUUUUUUUCCUUUUGAGAUGGAGUUUCACUCUUGUUGCCCAGGCUGGAGUGCAAUGGUGCCAUCUCAGCUCACAACAACCUCCGCCUCCCGGGUUUGAGCGAUUCUCCUGCCUCAGCCUCCCGAGUAGCUGGGAUUACAGCUAUGCACCACCACGCCUGGCUAAUUUUGUAUUUUUAAUAGAAGCAGGGUUUCUCCAUGUUGGUCAGGCGGGUCUCGAACUCUCGAACUCAAGUGAUCCACCCGCCUCGGCCUCCCAAAGUGCUGGGAUUGCAGGCGUGAGUCACCGUGCCUGGCCUUGUGGAUAUCUUUCUAUGUCAGUACAUAGAACUUGAUAUUAAGUGCUAUCUAUAUACUGAUGACUCUCAGUGUAUUUACAUUUUCAGCUCAGACUUCUCUUCUGAACUCUAGACUUAUAAAUAUCUACUUGACAUUGACAUAACCACCCUGAUGUCUCACAGAUUCCUUUUUUUUUUUUUUUUGAGAUGGAGUUUUGCUCUUGUUGCCUAGGCUGGAGUGCAAUGGCGUGAGCUCAGCUCACCACAACCUCCGCCUCCUGGGUUCAAGCUCAAGCAAUUCUCCUGCCUCAGCCUCCCAAGUAGCUGGGAUUACAGGCAUGUGCCACCACACCCAGCUAAUUUUGUAUUUUUUUUUUUUUUUUUAGUAGAGACGGGGUUUCUCCGUGUUGAUCAGGCUGGUCUCGAACUCCCCACCUCAGGUGAUCCACCCACCUCGGCCUCCCAAAGUGCUAGGAUUACAGGCGUGAGCCACUGUGCCCGGCCCCACCCCCCCGCUUUUUUUUUUGAGAUGGAGUCUUGCUCUGUCACCCAGGCUGGAGUGCAGCUGUGUGAUCUCAGCUCAGGGCAACUUCUGCCUCCUGGGUUCACGCAAUUCUCUUGUCUCAGUCUCCUGUGUAGCUGGGAUUACAGGCGCGUGCCACCACGUCUGGCUAUUUUUUUUUUUCUUUUUCUUUUUUUGAGACAGUGUCUAGCUCUGUCACCCAGGCUGGAGUGCAGUGGCGCGAUCUCGGCUCACUGCAACCUCUGCCUCCUGGGUUCAAACGAUUCUCCUGCCUCAGCCUCCCAAGUAUCUGGGAUUACAGGCGCCCGCCACCACGCCCAGCUAAUUUUUGUAUUUUUAGUAGAGACAGGGUUUCACCCUGUUGGCCAGUCUGGUCUCAAACUCCUGACCUCAUGAUCCGCCUGCCUCAGCCUCCCAAAGUGCUGGGAUUACAAGCGUGAGCCACCGUACCUGGCUAAUUUUUGCAUUUUUAGUAGAGACGGGGUUUCACCAUGUUGGCCAGGCUGGUCUCAAACUCCUGAACUCAGUGAUCCUCCCACCUCAGCCUCCCAAAGUGCUGGGAUUAUAGGUGUGAGCCACCGCCCCUGGCCUCACAGAUUCCUUUUUUUUUUUUUUUAAUUGGAGACAGGAUCUUGCUCUGUCACUACUCAGGCUGGAGUGCAGUGGCACAAUUAUGACUCACUGCAGGCUUGAUCCCCCUGGGCUCAAGCAAUCCUCCCACCUCAGCCUCCCAAGUAGCUGGGACCACAGGCACACGCCACCACGCCCAGCUUAUUUAUUUUUUGUAGAGAGGAGGUCUCACCAGGUUGCCCAGGCUGGUUUCCAACUCCUGGGCUCAAGUGAUCCACCCACCUCUGCCUCCCCAAGUACUGGGAUUACAGGUGUGAGCCAUCGUGCCCGGACUUGUCUCACAGAUACUAAACACAGAACGCUCAAACCUGCUACUCCUGCAGGCUUCCUCUCCUCACCAUUCACCUACUUGCUCAAACCAAAAACCUCAGAGUCAUUCUUGCCUUUUCCUUCUUUUUUUUUUUUUUUGAGACAGAGUCCCGCUCUGUCACCCAGGCUGGAGUGCAGUGGCGCGAUCUGGGCUCACUGCAGGCUCCACCUCCCAGGUUCAUGCCAUUCUCCUGCCUCAGCCUCCAGAGUAGCUGGGAAUACAGGCGUCUGCCACCACACCGGCUAAUUUUUUGUAUUUUUAGUAGAGAUGGGGUUUCACUGUGUUAGCCAGGAUGGUCUCGAUCUCCUGACCUCGUGAUCCGGCUGCCUCAGCCUCCCAAAGUGCUAGGAUUACAGGCGUGAGCCACCACGCCCGGCCAUUCUUGCCUUUUCUUCUCCUGCAGUCACUACUAUUGACUUGUUUUUUCGACCUCCACGAUGCAUCAUCAAAUUGUUCUUCUCCCUGUCUCCAUCUCUACUGCCACUACUCCUCCAACCGGCCUGAUUUACCGCAGUCACCUCCUAAUGGGUGUUCCUGCUUCCAUGUUGGCUUCUCCCCACAACAAGCCACUUUCAAUGAAUGGCUAAUUGUGAUUAACAACGACAACAACAAACAGUUAUGUAAGUUACUUCAAUUACUUUCCACCAUACUGGAAAAAAAUCCAAAUGCCCUGUCAUAGCCUAGGAAAGCCUACCCUGCCCCUCUCCCAGUUUUACCUUGGAUCUUUCUGCCCUUGUUUAGUGUAUUCUCUCUUCCAUGGUCUUAUCCCGUUUGCUCAAAAGGCCAAGGUAUGUCUCUACCUCCAGGGCUUUGUCCAUUCUAAUGCCUCUAUUAGAAUGCUUUUCCUCCGGCCUGGGGCGGUGGCUUAUGCUUGUAAUCCCAACACUUUGGGAAGCCAAGGCAGGGAGAUCACGAGGUCAGGAGUUCAAGACCAGCCUGGCCAACAUGGUAAAACCCUGUCUCUACUAAAGGUACAAAAAGUUAGCCGGGUGUGGUGGUGUGCCCCUGUAAUCCCAGCUACUCGGGAGGCUGAGGCAGGAGAAGCUUGAACCCGGGAGGCAGAGGUUGCAGUGGGCCAAGAUUGUGCCAUUGCACUCCAGCCUGGGUGACGGCACAAGACUCUGUCUCAAAAAAAAAAAAAAAAAGUAAAGGAAUGCUUUUCCUUUCUGUUCUUCAGCCUGGCUAACUUCUCCUCAUGCUACAGGUCUCAGUUAAAAUGUCACUUUCUUAGAAAGGUCCUCUCUGAUCUCCCCUCCAAUCUAAAUUAGAUGCCAAUAUUGCUUUCUCUCAAAAUAACUCCAUCUUUUUUUUUUUUUUUUUUUUUGAGAAGGAGUCUCACUCUGUUGCCCAGGCUGGAGUGUAAUGGCAUGAUCUCUUCUCACUGCAACCUCCGCCUCUCAGGUUCAAGUGAUUCUCCCGCCUCAGCCUCCCGAGUAGCUGGGAUUAUAAGCACCCACCAUCAUGUCCAGCUAAUUUUUGUAUUUUUGUAGAGACAGGGUUUCACCAUGUUGGCCAGGCUUGGUCUUGAACUCCUGACCUCAGGCGAUCUUGCUUUGGCCUCCCAAAGUGCUGGGAUUACAGGCAUGAGCCACCAUGCUUGGCCAAUAACCCAAUCUUUACUCAAUAUUACCAUUGUGCAUUAUUGCACAUAAUUAGUGUAUUGGUUUAGUAUCUUUACAUCUAGACUGAAAACUGUGAGGAACCAUUUGGGUUUCUUUGCUGUAUCCCUAACACCUGGCAAGGGCCUGGUAUAGUGAAAAUGCGUAACAAAUAAUUGUUGAAGUCUAGGCACGGUGGCUCACACCUGUAAUCCCAACACUUUGAGAGGCUGACGUGGGUGGAUCACUUGACCUCAGGGAGGGUACAAGACCAGCCUGGGCAACAUGGUGAAACCCCAUCUCUACUAAAAAUACAAAAAUUAGCAGGACGUGAUGGCACAUGCCUGUGGUCCCAGCUACUCAGGAGACUGAGGCAGCAGAAUUGCUUGAACCUGGGAGGUGGAGGUUGCAGUGAGCCGGGAUUGCGAUCCUGCCUAAAAAAAGAAAAAUAACAAAAUAAUUGAUAAGUGAAAACUAGGUGCAAGUAUAGGAGUUGAGAGCAAAGUGGGCAAAGGCAGAUUUUUUCUUAGUAAACGCUGUAUUGUUUUGUACUUUCUUUCUGAUCUGCUGCAUUUUGGGAUCCACUUGCAACUUAAACCUGAUGUUGGCCAGGUGUGGUGGCUCACACCUGUAAUCUAGUACUGUUGGAGGCCGAGGCGAGUGGAUUGCCAGAGCUCAGGAGUUUGAGACCAGCCUGGGCCACAUGAUGAAACUUCGUCUUUAGUAAAAUACAAAAAUUAGCCAGAUACGGUGGUGCACGCCUGCAGUCCCAGCUGCUUGGGAGGCUGAGGCAGGAGAAUCGCUUGAACCUGGGAGGCGGAAGUUGCAAUGGGAUGAGAUUGCUCCAUUGCACUCCAGCCUGGGCAACAGGGUGAGACUCCAUCUCAAAAAACAAAAACAAAGCAAAAAAAUCCCUGAUGUUAACAAGAAUGUGCACAGCGAUAAGGCUGUAUACGAAGUGCAGAUGAUGGGGACAAAUUGAGGCCAAAUCAGAUGAAAGCAGAGCUUGGGACUCAGGACCCCUCCUUCCUGGGAGCUGAAUAGACUCGGGUGGCAGGAAAGAGGCUCUGGCUGCCGGAUAGCUCUGGGUGGGCCCAGAGCAAAUGACCUGACCUGGUCCCCCUCACCCACUCCUGCAGUGGCUAUCACUUAGAAAUCAGCAUCCAGGCUGGGUGCGGUGGCCACGCCUGCAAUCCCAGCGCUUUAGGAGGCCGAGGCAGGUGGAUCACCUGAGGUCAGGAGUUUGAGACCAGCCUGAACAAUACGGUGAAACCCCAUCUCUACUAAAAAUACAAAAAAUUAGCCGAUGUGGUGGCGGGCGUCUGUAAUCCCAGCUACUCGGGAGGCUGAGGCAGGAGAACUGCUUGAACCCAGGAGGUGGAGGAUUGCUUGAGUCCAGGAGUUCAAGGCUGCACAUGAACUGUGAUUGUGCCACUGAAGGGCCCUAUCUCAAAGACAAAACGAAAAAUAAAUAAAAAUUUAAAUGAGGAGGCGGGAGCUACAUCAGAUUGGAGUUACCAGCAAGGAAAGCAGGGAGGAAAAAUGAAAAAGUGAGACUACCUCAACCCUGGUCAGUUGCAGAGACCUGGGAGCCCUCUGGACAAGGGAGCCACUCUCUCAAGAGUGAAGCACCACCCACUGCCACUUCAAGACAGGAGUUAUGCCCAGCCCAGGUGGGCAGUGGUGGCCUUGAAGGCAGAGCUUUGUUUCUGUGCAGGCCUGUUGGGCAGGAGGGAAGAGCGGAGAGGGAGUGAGAUCUGGCAUCGUCUCUAAGCACUGAGUGUCUGUGGGAUCCCUAAACAGCCCUGAACCUCACUCAUUCCUUCCUUGUCCUCAGGCUUCUCCCUAUUCCCCACAGAUCUAAGGCUGCCAGCUGUCCCUGCCCUGAGGCUGUCCCCUGCAACCAGGGAGGCCACAGCCCCCCAGCUGGGACCUGCAGCCUCAAGGACUCUUAUUCCACAAGUAGCUUUUCCUGAGGGUGUGCUGGAGACAAACAGCAUGGCGAAGGGUAAUGAAACUCAGGCCCUAUUUUUCUUUUGAGACGAAGUCUCCCUCUGUCACUCAGGCUGGAGUGCAGUGGCGUGAUCUCUGCUCACUGCAACCUCCACCUCCUGGGUUCAAGUGAUCUUCCUGCCUCAGUCCCCGAGUAGCUGGGAUUACAGGCUUGUGCCCCACGCCUGGCUAAUGUAUUUUUAGUAGAGACGGGGUUUCACCACGUUGACCAGGCUGGUCUCCAACUCAUGACCUCAGGUGAUCCGCCUGCCUUGGCAUCCCAAAGUGCCAGGAUGACAGGCAUGAACCACUGUGCCCGGCCUGAGAGAGGAAGAUUUUUCUACAGAAGUAUUUCAGCUAAUAAGCUAAGAAAAUAGAAAAUUAGGGCCAGGCACAGUGGCUUACACCUGUCAUCCCAGCACUUUGGGAGCCCAGGAGUUUAAGACCAGCCUUGGCAACAUAGGGAGACCUCAUCUCUAAAAGAAAUAA